rnacentral:rRNA from 1 species
UACGGGGGGGGCAAGCGUUGUUCGGAAUUACUGGGCGUAAAGGGCUCGUAGGCGGCCAACUAAGUCAGACGUGAAAUCCCUCGGCUUAACCGGGGAACUGCGUCUGAUACUGGAUGGCUAGAGUUUGGGAGAGGGAUGCGGAAUUCCAGGUGUAGCGGUGAAAUGCGUAGAUAUCGGGUGGAACACCAGCGGCGAAGGCGGCAUCCUGGCCCUGUACUGACGCUGAGGCGCGAUAGCGUGGGGAGCAAACGGG